rnacentral:tRNA from 1 species
GGAGGGCUCGCAUAGCGGCCGAGUGCACCGGUCUUGAAAACCGGCAGACGAAAGUCUCGAGGGUUCAAAUCCCUCGCCCUCCGCCA